rnacentral:lncRNA from 1 species
AAUGCAGCCGACCUCUUCACAAAAUCACUCCCUACCUCGGUAUUCAGAAAACACAUCCAUAACAUUGGGAUGCGCCAUCAGAAGGAUCUAUGACUGUUCGUUCGAGGGGGAGCUUACGUAGUUGUACUCUUUUUACCUUACUAUGGUUUUUCCCAUUGGGUUUUCCUGGAAAGGUUUUUAACGAGGCAACAAAGACGUUAAGCGGGGGCGGAUAGUGUCACCGGCCCCCAAGGGGGAGUGUUAUGAAAGUCAGAGAACACAGCGCCGCAUAAGUUGAAAUUAUAAAUGAUGUGGGGCCCGCUGCACUAUUUGCACAGUAG